rnacentral:rRNA from 1 species
GACAGAGGAUGCAAGCGUUAUCCGGAAUGAUUGGGCGUAAAGCGUCUGUAGGUGGCUUUUUAAGUCCGCCGUCAAAUCCCAGGGCUCAACCCUGGACAGGCGGUGGAAACUACCAAGCUGGAGUACGGUAGGGGCAGAGGGAAUUUCCGGUGGAGCGGUGAAAUGCGUGAGAUAUUGGAAAGACCACCAAUGGCGAAGGCACUCUACUGGGCAUUACUGACACUGAGAGACGAAAGCUAGGGGAGCAAAUGGG